rnacentral:rRNA from 1 species
AACUUUCAACAACGGAUCUCUUGGCUCUAGCAUCGAUGAAGAACGCAGCGAAAUGCGAUAAGUAAUGUGAAUUGCAGAAUUCAGUGAAUCAUCGAAUCUUUGAACGCACAUUGCGCCUGGCAGUAUUCUGCCAGGCAUGCCUGUCC